rnacentral:pre_miRNA from 1 species
CACGAUAUGACGUUUGUACCCCUCACAAGUACAAGUAUAAUGCAUGUCAAUGAGGGGUAGAAAUGUCAUAUCAUGUGUG